UACGGCCGCAUCAAAUCGAAACACCGGUUCCAGUACGAUCACUGAAGUUAAGUAACGUCGAGCCUGAUCAGUAACUAUAUGGGUGACCACUUGGGAAUACCUGGUGCAGUA